AGCGUACACGGUGGAUGCCCUGGCAGUCAGAGGCGAUGAAGGACGUGCUAAUCUGCGAUAAGCGUCGGUAAGGUGAUAUGAACCGUUAUAACCGGCGAUUUCCGAAUGGGGAAACCCAGUGUGUUUCGACACACUAUCAUUAACUGAAUCCAUAGGUUAAUGAGGCGAACCGGGGGAACUGAAACAUCUAAGUACCCCGAGGAAAAGAAAUCAACCGAGAUUCCCCCAGUAGCGGCGAGCGAACGGGGAGGAGCCCAGAGCCUGAAUCAGUGUGUGUGUUAGUGGAAGCGUCUGGAAAGGCGCGCGAUACAGGGUGACAGCCCCGUACACAAAAAUGCACAUGCUGUGAGCUCGAUGAGUAGGGCGGGACACGUGGUAUCCUGUCUGAAUAUGGGGGGACCAUCCUCCAAGGCUAAAUACUCCUGACUGACCGAUAGUGAACCAGUACCGUGAGGGAAAGGCGAAAAGAACCCCGGCGAGGGGAGUGAAAAAGAACCUGAAACCGUGUACGUACAAGCAGUGGGAGCACGCUUAGGCGUGUGACUGCGUACCUUUUGUAUAAUGGGUCAGCGACUUAUAUUCUGUAGCAAGGUUAACCGAAUAGGGGAGCCGAAGGGAAACCGAGUCUUAACUGGGCGUUAAGUUGCAGGGUAUAGACCCGAAACCCGGUGAUCUAGCCAUGGGCAGGUUGAAGGUUGGGUAACACUAACUGGAGGACCGAACCGACUAAUGUUGAAAAAUUAGCGGAUGACUUGUGGCUGGGGGUGAAAGGCCAAUCAAACCGGGAGAUAGCUGGUUCUCCCCGAAAGCUAUUUAGGUAGCGCCUCGUGAACUCAUCUCCGGGGGUAGAGCACUGUUUCGGCAAGGGGGUCAUCCCGACUUACCAACCCGAUGCAAACUGCGAAUACCGGAGAAUGUUAUCACGGGAGACACACGGCGGGUGCUAACGUCCGUCGUGAAGAGGGAAACAACCCAGACCGCCAGCUAAGGUCCCAAAGUCAUGGUUAAGUGGGAAACGAUGUGGGAAGGCCCAGACAGCCAGGAUGUUGGCUUAGAAGCAGCCAUCAUUUAAAGAAAGCGUAAUAGCUCACUGGUCGAGUCGGCCUGCGCGGAAGAUGUAACGGGGCUAAACCAUGCACCGAAGCUGCGGCAGCGACGCUUAUGCGUUGUUGGGUAGGGGAGCGUUCUGUAAGCCUGUGAAGGUGUACUGUGAGGUAUGCUGGAGGUAUCAGAAGUGCGAAUGCUGACAUAAGUAACGAUAAAGCGGGUGAAAAGCCCGCUCGCCGGAAGACCAAGGGUUCCUGUCCAACGUUAAUCGGGGCAGGGUGAGUCGACCCCUAAGGCGAGGCCGAAAGGCGUAGUCGAUGGGAAACAGGUUAAUAUUCCUGUACUUGGUGUUACUGCGAAGGGGGGACGGAGAAGGCUAUGUUGGCCGGGCGACGGUUGUCCCGGUUUAAGCGUGUAGGCUGGUUUUCCAGGCAAAUCCGGAAAAUCAAGGCUGAGGCGUGAUGACGAGGCACUACGGUGCUGAAGCAACAAAUGCCCUGCUUCCAGGAAAAGCCUCUAAGCAUCAGGUAACAUCAAAUCGUACCCCAAACCGACACAGGUGGUCAGGUAGAGAAUACCAAGGCGCUUGAGAGAACUCGGGUGAAGGAACUAGGCAAAAUGGUGCCGUAACUUCGGGAGAAGGCACGCUGAUAUGUAGGUGAAGCGACUUGCUCGUGGAGCUGAAAUCAGUCGAAGAUACCAGCUGGCUGCAACUGUUUAUUAAAAACACAGCACUGUGCAAACACGAAAGUGGACGUAUACGGUGUGACGCCUGCCCGGUGCCGGAAGGUUAAUUGAUGGGGUUAGCGCAAGCGAAGCUCUUGAUCGAAGCCCCGGUAAACGGCGGCCGUAACUAUAACGGUCCUAAGGUAGCGAAAUUCCUUGUCGGGUAAGUUCCGACCUGCACGAAUGGCGUAAUGAUGGCCAGGCUGUCUCCACCCGAGACUCAGUGAAAUUGAACUCGCUGUGAAGAUGCAGUGUACCCGCGGCAAGACGGAAAGACCCCGUGAACCUUUACUAUAGCUUGACACUGAACAUUGAGCCUUGAUGUGUAGGAUAGGUGGGAGGCUUUGAAGUGUGGACGCCAGUCUGCAUGGAGCCGACCUUGAAAUACCACCCUUUAAUGUUUGAUGUUCUAACGUGGACCCGUAAUCCGGGUUGCGGACAGUGUCUGGUGGGUAGUUUGACUGGGGCGGUCUCCUCCUAAAGAGUAACGGAGGAGCACGAAGGUUGGCUAAUCCUGGUCGGACAUCAGGAGGUUAGUGCAAUGGCAUAAGCCAGCUUGACUGCGAGCGUGACGGCGCGAGCAGGUGCGAAAGCAGGUCAUAGUGAUCCGGUGGUUCUGAAUGGAAGGGCCAUCGCUCAACGGAUAAAAGGUACUCCGGGGAUAACAGGCUGAUACCGCCCAAGAGUUCAUAUCGACGGCGGUGUUUGGCACCUCGAUGUCGGCUCAUCACAUCCUGGGGCUGAAGUAGGUCCCAAGGGUAUGGCUGUUCGCCAUUUAAAGUGGUACGCGAGCUGGGUUUAGAACGUCGUGAGACAGUUCGGUCCCUAUCUGCCGUGGGCGCUGGAGAACUGAGGGGGGCUGCUCCUAGUACGAGAGGACCGGAGUGGACGCAUCACUGGUGUUCGGGUUGUCAUGCCAAUGGCACUGCCCGGUAGCUAAAUGCGGAAGAGAUAAGUGCUGAAAGCAUCUAAGCACGAAACUUGCCCCGAGAUGAGUUCUCCCUGACUCCUUGA
rnacentral:rRNA from 1 species